rnacentral:misc_RNA from 1 species
AGCAGAAUUACAUUACAUCCUAACUACUAUCUUAUUACAAAAGAUAUGAAGUCAUAACAUCUGGAUCGGUAUCAUAUCUUUGCAUAGUUGAUAGAAUUUUUCCCGUCAUGACCUUUGCUAAAGAAAUAACUGAAGUAAUCUGAAAAGAGAAUUGGCUUAUAUCUGGGUGCUGCUCCAGUCUCUAGCACUUCUGGUAGAGGUCCAAUUAGAGCAUCAGGUCCUGGAUUGACAAAGAUAGGAACUGAAACCCUAUUCUUGCUUCCAUUGGCAACCACACGAUGCUCUAUACUUUUAUAUUGGUCAUUGCUCAUUAUCUGCAGCACAUCUCCAAUAUUGAUCACAAGUGCCCCAUUAACUGGUGGGAUAUGAAUCCAGCUAUCCUCUUCAAUUCCUCGAACAUAAAGCCCGCCAAUGUCAUCUUGUAGGAGGACUGUGAUGGAUGAAAUAUCAGAAUGACAGCCUACUCCGGUCACAAGUUCAGGAUUAGGGCAAUGAGGAUAGUAGUUCAGGUUAAUAGUUAGCGAACCCAUUAAGGCAUAUUCUUUUUCCUUGUCAAUCUCCCUCACAUUGAGUUUUGUCAGUAGCAGCUCUAACAGCUUUUUGAUAACCAUUUCAACCCUCUUCAUAUAAUCCAGCACUGGAUCCUUGCAUACAGAGGGCCAGAGUGCCUGAGACUUUUCAUCUCCAGGGAUAUAACGAAAGCUCAGAUAAUCUUUCCACUCCAGCACCUUCUCCUUUAGAGGACUAAAACUUGUUGCAAGGAACACAGUAUCAGUUGGGGAUUUCCCUUUCCAAAACUUCUUUCUUUCUUCAUUGGGUAACCCAAAGAACCCAUGAGCUGCAUCCUGUAAAUGAUCAAGAAUCUCUUGUGGAAUCCCAUGAUUGAUAAUCUGAAAGAAACCCCACUUGCUUGCAGCUUCAAAGAUUGAUUCUACAAGUUGUGGAUCAUCCCAAUUGGAGACAUCAAUAAUGGGUAUGGAUUCUUGGGAAAUGACUUGGCUUGCAUGCAACCUUCGUUCUGGUGGUUGGAUAUAUUGGCGAGGAAGGG